ACUUUCUUAGUAUAAUCAGUACAUCUGACUUCCAAUCAGCUAGCUCUAGUAAUACCCUAGAAGAAAGUA
rnacentral:tRNA from 1 species